UUUUACUGGGUUCAAAGGAUUUAAACAGUGCGCUUUAAGAUGAUUAUCUGGGGGGUUUAAUUAUAUUAUCCCUGUCCGUAUAGCCAUGCGGUACAGAGGGAAUAGGACGCUUGUUUAGAUAUGUGGAAUAUCAAUUCUAGGUUAGGAAUUACACGGAAAAUUCUGAUUUGUGUGGCGGUGUUGUUUGAAUGCGUUUCCUUCGUAAAGUCAGGAUGUGGUGGUUACAUUGAGUUGACGGCCAGUGGCUCUCACGACCUUUCCUCCAGUAGCACAUAUAGUGCCUACUCUAAUUGUAUAUGGGUCAUAAAGGUACCAGGAUAAGUAUGUCGUGAACGGGGAUUUCACCUUCAGAGGCGAGAAGUCUUCCGGUGGGGCGUGUGAGGAUUACUUAGUGGUGACAGAUGGGUCUGACUCUGCCAAUGAGCUUCUGAAUACUUGCGAUGACCUGACCAACCACAAGCUGAACUCGACCGCUCGCUGGAUGUACAUCCAGUUUAAGGCGGAUGGUGCUACUAAUGUACAGGGUCUGUCGGCCACAGUCAAGCCAAUGUACACAGGUACUGACAUGAGUGCUGAAACAGAUCCCGUACCAAAGUGUAAGUCCCACCAGUUUUCCUGUUCCAACAAGCGCUGUAUUACAAUGUCCUACCGCUGUGACGGAUUUAACGACUGCGGCUGCGUGGCGGACUGUGACGAACAGAACUGUGGCGGGAUAUCUAUGUCAAAAAGUUCCUACAUGGGCCUGGGAGCUGGGCUAGGGACCGCCAUGUUCAUAACAUGCUUCGUAAGCGUGUACGCCUACGAAAAGCGACGGAAACUGAAAGCCAUGAGGGAGGAGGAGGAAUCAGAAAGAGCGUCCAGGAGGCGGGGGAGGCCCCGGGACCAAAACAAGGGCAAGGACGAUAAAGAGAAGGACAAGAAGGUCGCCUGGCAUAGUUAGUUACACCGCCAUUUUGCCAAUCACGUGACAGCGAGAAUUAUUUAUGUGUCCUGCAAUAAAUGAAAUGAGGGAUUGUGAUUAGGUCACAGAAGUCGGUAUCAUUCGAUGUUAUGAUAAUGCAUCAUCAUUUUAUGUUCGAUAAAAACAACGCAUGUUGCUGGCCUGUGCGAGCAGAGCGCAUCUACAAUUAAAAUAUAAUACAUUUCGUAAGACAUUUAUCAUUUUAAAAUCUUAUGAAAUGCAUUUUUUCUUGAAAAUAAUCACGAUACUCAGGAUGAUGUAUAGAAUGUGAGUGAGAAAUAAAACUUUGUGAAAGAGUGUAAGUUAUUGUCACGUAAUAUUUAUUGUAAUAAUUAUUGAGGUUUUUUUCGUAUACUAGUACUUCGUUUACUAGUAUAUGGUUUGUGUGUAAAUGACUUUUAACAAAAACAAAUACGAUUUUGCUUGUUUGAGAGGGUGCAAUGCCCAAUUCCCCCAAAGCUACAUUUCAUUGUGUGUCUUACUGACUACCUAAGCACAAGUUCCAUUGAUUGUUUUGAUCCUGGUUUGGAAUAUAUACGUAUACGAACCCCAGCCGAACGAUAUGCUAUAUCGACUUUCUGUGACAUCAUUUCCGACGUUUUGUCGUCUUUUGUUGCCCUUUCCAUAAACUUGUACCUCUGUAUGUCUCAAAACUUGUAUUUAGUUGAGGGAAAUUAUUAACAAGUGACUGAAAUGUAUUUAAUAACUCACAACUCUAAUUCUAGUAAUUUUGUCCCAUUUUGAGAUGUUAAAUGUUUGUUAUGUUUGAGUGAAAUAAACAACUGAUAUCUCCC
rnacentral:misc_RNA from 1 species